GAGACAGCAGUCGCCGCGGGAAUACAGAGGGUGCGAGCGUUAAUCGGAUUUACUGGGCGUAAAGCGUGCGUAGGCGGCUUUUUAAGUCGGAUGUGAAAUCCCUGAGCUUAACUUAGGAAUUGCAUUCGAUACUGGGAAGCUAGAGUAUGGGAGAGGAUGGUAGAAUUCCAGGUGUAGCGGUGAAAUGCGUAGAGAUCUGGAGGAAUACCGAUGGCGAAGGCAGCCAUCUGGCCUAAUACUGACGCUGAGGUACGAAAGCAUGGGGAGCAAACAGGAUUAGAUACCCGCGUAGUCCCUGUCUCUUAUAC
rnacentral:rRNA from 1 species